UACGUAGGGUCCGAGCGUUGUCCGGAAUUAUUGGGCGUAAAGGGCUCGUAGGCGGUUUGUCGCGUCGGGAGUGAAAACUUACAGCUUAACUGUGAGCGUGCUUCCGAUACGGGCAGACUUGAGGUAUUCAGGGGAGAACGGAAUUCCUGGUGUAGCGGUGAAAUGCGCAGAUAUCAGGAGGAACACCGGUGGCGAAGGCGGGUCUCUGGGCCGAUACUGACGCUGAGGAGCGAAAGCGUGGGGAGCGAACAGG
rnacentral:rRNA from 1 species